rnacentral:rRNA from 1 species
UGGGGAAUUUUGGACAAUGGGCGCAAGCCUGAUCCAGCCAUGCCGCGUGCGGGAAGAAGGCCUUCGGGUUGUAAACCGCUUUUGUCAGGGAAGAAAAGCUCUGGGUUAAUACCCUGGGGUGAUGACGGUACCUGAAGAAUAAGCACCGGCUAACUACGUGCCAGCAGCCGCGGUAAUACGUAGGGUGCAAGCGUUAAUCGGAAUUACUGGGCGUAAAGCGUGCGCAGGCGGUUUUGUAAGACAGAGGUGAAAUCCCCGGGCUCAACCUGGGAACUGCCUUUGUGACUGCAAGGCUUGAGUGCGGCAGAGGGGGAUGGAAUUCCGCGUGUAGCAGUGAAAUGCGUAGAUAUGCGGAGGAACACCGAUGGCGAAGGCAAUCCCCUGGGCCUGCACUGACGCUCAUGCACGAAAGCGUGGGGAGCAAACA